rnacentral:lncRNA from 1 species
AUGCAAGUCAGAGAGCUAUAUCGACAGAUAAAUGGACAGAAAUCAGCAAGGCAUGGGUGUGGAAUUGUUAGAAGCAUUGGACUAAAUGUUGACCAAGUUAGAAACAGGAGAAUGAUGGACCUACAAAAUGAUGGAUCUACAAAAUAUCCUAUUAUGAAAGAUACAGAAGAAGGCAGACACUAUCCAUCAUGCCCCAGAGCUUUGAAGAGUUGACAUUAUUUGACCCAGAUUAUGACACUACAAGGGGAUAUUAUCAAACAUUCGGAGGAAUGCGAUUUACCACAGCCCUAACAGCAUCCCCACCCACAACUCAUUUACACUUCUUAACUCCAUCUGAUGGCAUCUCUGAUCAUAAGUCAUGAGUGAGGCAAAUAGAAGCUCUGGAGACAUUGAACUUGUUGAGAUUAGAGAGACUAUAAACAUCUGUGAUGUACAAAAACUGAGUAAUAUUGCAUUUUUGACUGAUUGUGAAAAUUUGUUCAUUUACAGCCAAGUUUCUUAUACAUUUCUUUCUGCUCAAGAUUUAUGUCCUAAUUUGCAUUUUGAUGUGCUUUGAAUCAGAGCAGGACACACUAACCAGAUCUGGAAUUAUAGUCCCUUUAAAAUGAAACUAUGAACUGCAUUGUACACCUGCUUGUAUAAUCUAUAAAGAUAAUGCUGACUAUGCUCAGAAUAAUAUUGAAUGCAUUUACACAUUAAUUAUUCUUUGAACAUGACAACAUGAUUAGUAUGAAGGUUUUCUUUCUAAUCGCAUUCUUCCCUUCUCAGUAAGAAUCUUAAACUUAGACGUGGCCCUUCAAUGGGUUACGUAUAUGUCCUGAUUUCAGCUAGGAUAGAGUUAGUUUUCCUCCUGGCAGCUGGUAUGGUGCUGUGUCUUGGAUUUAGGAUGAGAAUUAUGUUGAUGACACCCUGAUGUUUUAGUUGUUGUAGAGCAGUGCUUAUACAGAGACAAGGACUCUUCAGCUCCUCAUACUGCCCUGCCAGCAAUGAGGGUGUGGAUACAGCAGAAACUGAGAGGAGACACAACCAGAACAGCUGACCCAAACUGAAUGAAGAGAUAUUCCAUACCAUGUGGCAUCGUGAUCAACAAUUACUGUGGGGUGGCUGGCUGUGUGUGGGAGACCGCUGCGUCAGCAGGUGGUGAGCAAUUGCAUUGUGCAUCACUUGUGUUGUACAUUUCUUCUUCUACUUCUGAUUAUUAUUAUUUCUCUUCCUAUUAAACUAUCUCAAUGUUUUGUUUUGUUUUGUUAUUCUCCUAAUUUUCACCCCCAUCCCAAUUGGGGGGGGGAGGGGAGGAGGAGGAAGGAGGAGCAAACAGUUGUGUGGUGCUAAGAGCUGCCUGCCUGCCCAAUUAAACCACAAUAUCUGAAUACCACCUUAUCUGAAUACCAAAAACCACCUUAUCUGAAUACCGAAAACACUCUGCCAAAGCCAGAUUUAAGAGGCCAGAUAUCACUUCAUGAAGAGAAAUGACAUGAAUGUAGCUGAAUAAGAAAGGUCUUGACAAGCAUAUGUGUCUUGUGGGAAAAUACUAGAUACAUGGCAAGGACAAGAAAAUGGGAUGUUAGGAAAGCAUUUUUGUUUUUCCUCUGUAGAAUAAAUUCUGAAGGAAUAUCA